rnacentral:lncRNA from 1 species
UAAUGGCUAGUUAAUUUGUAUUGUUUCUAUAUACAGGUUAAUAAUAUACAUGAGAAAACCAUAUAAAAAUCAUGGUGUAGGAAGGUUCACCCAAGGUUUUGCUGCCUUCCUCUGCAGACAAGCAUUUCAUUUUUAUCAUAUCUGGUUUCUUGUGAUAAGUUUGUCAUGGUUUCAAAGAUAUUAGUGUGACUAUUUUAUUCCCACUUUUCCUUUCUACUCCCUAUAUAACUAUACAUCACCAAGUUCAUCCUUUGUUUUUGAAGAGGUAACAUGGAGAUAUCAAGAAACUUACAAGUGUAACUUUAUAUCAGAAAAAUUCAGGAUUUCCUUCAAUCUGCAUAAAAAGCUCUCGUGCAGCUUCAACUAUGCCUGAAUGCCCAAGGUGGGGGAAUGAUGAAGUCAC